UGCCAGUUCACAUCGAGGUGAGGGCACUGUGAUAAGGCUAUGACAAUAUCCACAUACCCUUGGUAACAGGCGACGAUGAGACCAUUCCUGCGGUUGCGGUCGGUCUCCCGCACCUCCUCCUCCUCGGGGCCCUGCCGGAUGAGCGCCCGCAGCACCACGGCGUUGUUGGUGCAGCACGCUCGGAAGAGGCUCAGCGCCUCGGGGCUGUCGCGGUCCUCCUGCUCCAGGGACCAGCUGUCCUCCGUCUCGUCCUCCAGCCCCCCCGGCGGGUAGAAGGAGUCGUCCGAGGCGAUGCUGCAGGUGUCGGGCAGCUCGGAGAAGUCCUCAUACUCCUCGCAGUCCUCCU
rnacentral:lncRNA from 1 species